AGUCGACGGACUCAUAUUGAAACCUAGUGAUUUAUGAGUUAGUGGCGGACGGGUGAGUAACGCGUGGAAAACCUGCCGUAUACCGGGGGAUAACACUUAGAAAUAGGUGCUAAUACCGCAUAAGCGCACAGCUUCGCAUGAAGCAGUGUGAAAAACUCCGGUGGUAUAUGAUGGUUCCGCGUCUGAUUAGCUAGUUGGCGGGGUAACGGCCCACCAAGGCAGCGAUCAGUAGCCGGCCUGAGAGGGUGAACGGCCACAUUGGGACUGAGACACGGCCCAAACUCCUACGGGAGGCAGCAGUGGGGAAUAUUGCACAAUGGGGGAAACCCUGAUGCAGCGACGCCGCGUGAGUGAAGAAGUAUUUCGGUACGUAAAGCUCUAUCAGCAGGGAAGAAAAGGAACUAAAGUUCCCAUGACGGUACCUGAUUAAGAAGCCCCGGCUAACUACGUGCCAGCAGCCGCGGUAAUACGUAGGGGGCAAGCGUUAUCCGGAUUUACUGGGUGUAAAGGGAGCGUAGACGGCAGCGCAAGUCUGGAGUGAAAUGCCGGGGCCCAACCCCGGAACUGCUUUGGAAACUGUGCAGCUGGAGUGCGGGAGAGGUAAGUGGAAUUCCUAGUGUAGCGGUGAAAUGCGUAGAUAUUAGGAGGAACACCAGUGGCGAAGGCGGCUUGCUGGACCGUAACUGACGUUGAGGCUCGAAAGCGUGGGGAGCAAACAGGAUUAGAUACCCUGGUAGU
rnacentral:rRNA from 1 species